UGAUUGUUUUGCAGCUCUAAGAGAGGACCGGUACUACAACGCUGGCAGAGCCAUUGCAGUGAGUUUGGUGCAUGGUGGUCCACCACCAAACUUCCUGUCACCAACAGUGUUUUCGCUUCUUGUUGAUGGUUCAGCAAAUCCAGCUGUAGAAGACAUAGCUGACCCAGAACUCCUUGAGAAAGUCAAAAAGAUUCUGUGAAGGUCUGAAGACUCUUGGGGUUCUUGAAAAAAUCAGGAGACAUCCUGACAGCUUUAAGCCCCUGUUUUGCUAUGAGGCAAGUCUUCUCACUGCUGACCAGAUGGACAAUCUCUUCAGCAUUCCACUCUCUCCAGAAGGGAGCAACAAGAGAACUGCAGAAGAAAUGGUUGUAAUCUUCUGGAGAGACUAUCUCCAGGAUGCAGAAGAAGAAGAAGGGCCAUCCAAACUACAAAAAAUAUUGGCCUUCGCAACAGGAGCCUCUGUGGUGCCACCCAUCGGCUUUUCCCCAACACCUUCUGUGGAGUUCAUUCACAAGGGAGAGGACGACUAUGCCUCGACACCAUUGUUCCCUAUGGCCAACACAUGUGUCAACUGCAUCAGGUUGCCGCUACAU